CCUACGGGAGGCAGCAGUAAGGAAUAUUGGGCAAUGGGCGACAGCCUGACGCAGCGACGCCGCGUGGGGGAUGAAGGUCUUCGGAUUGUAAACCCCUUUCGGCAGGGAAGAGGAACGGGUAACCGUUCGGACGGUACUUGCAGAAGA
rnacentral:rRNA from 1 species